UACAGGGGGUGCAAACGUUGCUCGGAAUCAUUGGGCGUAAAGAGCGCGCAGGCGGUCGUUCAAGUCGAGUGUGAAAGCCCCCGGCUCAACUGGGGAGGGUCACUCGAUACUGAUCGACUUGAAGGCAGGAGAGGGAAGCGGAAUUCCCGGUGUAGUGGUGAAAUGCGUAGAUAUCGGGAGGAACACCAGUGGCGAAGGCGGCUUCCUGGCCUGUUCUUGACGCUGAGGCGCGAAAGCUAGGGGAGCAAACGGG
rnacentral:rRNA from 1 species